rnacentral:lncRNA from 1 species
AAAGGCGUGUAUCUUGACUAUUGAGUCUACAUGUAUCUAUAUGAUUUAUUGUUUUAUUUCAUGUUUAGGUUAUAUUUGAUAUGAUUUAAUUGUUUAUGAAAAUUCUUAUACACAUUAGUUUAACCUCUUAUCUCCUUAGGUGUCUAAUACGCGGUCGUUGAAGCUAUCAAAUUAAUACUUCUUUUCAAGGCAAUUUCAGUAUUGUCAAGUAGUAUCCAAGAAAAUAGACAGG